UACGAAGGGGGCUAGCGUUGCUCGGAAUUACUGGGCGUAAAGCGCACGUAGGCGGCUUUCUAAGUCGGGGGUGAAAUCCUGGAGCUCAACUCCAGAACUGCCUUCGAUACUGGAGAGCUCGAGUCCGGGAGAGGUGAGUGGAACUGCGAGUGUAGAGGUGAAAUUCGUAGAUAUUCGCAAGAACACCAGUGGCGAAGGCGGCUCACUGGCCCGGUACUGACGCUGAGGUGCGAAAGCGGUGGGGAGCAAACAGGGAU
rnacentral:rRNA from 1 species